UACGUAGGGGGCAAGCGUUGUCCGGAUUCAUUGGGCGUAAAGAGCGUGUAGGCGGCCAGGUAGGUCGGUUGUGAAAACUGGAGGCUCAACCUUCAGACGUCGAUCGAAACCAUCUGGCUAGAGUCCGGGAGAGGAGAGUGGAAUUCCUGGUGUAGCGGUGAAAUGCGCAGAUAUCAGGAAGAACACCCGUGGCGAAAGCGGCUCUCUGGAACGGUACUGACGCUGAGACGCGAAAGCGUGGGGAGCGAACAGGAUAGAUACCGAGUA
rnacentral:rRNA from 1 species